UCGAGAAUCUUCGGCAAUGGGCGAAAGCCUGACCGAGCGACGCCGCGUGCGGGAUGAAGGCCUUCGGGUUGUAAACCGCGAAAGUAGGGAGGAAGGCUUCGUGAAGAACGAGGUUUGACCGAUCUACAGUAAGGACGGGCUAAGUACGUGCCAGCAGCCGCGGUAAUACGUACCGUCCAAACGUUAUUCGGAAUUACUGGGCUUAAAGGGUUUGUAGGCGGCGCUGUUAGUCGGGUGUGAAAUCCCAGGGCUCAACCCUGGAACUGCGCCCGAUACUGCAGUGCUUGAGGGAGACAGAGGUAAGCGGAACUGAUGGUGGAGCGGUGAAAUGCGUUGAUAUCAUCAGGAACACCGGUGGCGAAAGCGGCUUACUGGGUCUCUUCUGACGCUGAGAAACGAAAGCUAGGGGAGCGAAGGG
rnacentral:rRNA from 1 species